rnacentral:rRNA from 1 species
GACGAACGCUGGCGGCGUGCCUAAUACAUGCAAGUUGAGCGAUGAAGAUUGGUGCUUGCACCAAUUUGAAGAGCAGCGAACGGGUUAGUAACGCGUGGGGAAUCUGCCUUUGAUCGGGGGACAACAUUUGGAAACGAAUGCUAAUACCGCAUAACAACUUUAAACAUAAGUUUUAUGUUUGAAAGAUGCAAUUGCAUCACUCAAAGAUGAUCCCGCGUUUUAUUAGCUAGUUGGUGAGGUAAAGGCUCACCAAGGCGAUGAUACAUAGCCGACAUGAGAGGGUGAUCGGCCAGAUUGGGAGUGAGACAAGGCCCAAACUCCUACGGGAGGCAGCAGUAGGGAAACUUCGGCAAUGGACGAAAGUCUGACCGAGCAAAGCCGCGUGAGUGAAGAAGGUUGUCGGAUCGUAAAACUCUGUUGGUAGAGAAGAACGUUGGUGAGAGUGGAAAGCUCAUCAAGUGACGGUAACUACCCAGAAAGGGACGGCUAACUACGUG